rnacentral:rRNA from 1 species
GACGAACGCUGGCGGCGUGCUUAACACAUGCAAGUCGAGCGAUGAAAGCCUUAUGAACUAUUCGUAGUGAUUGGGGCCGGAUUAGCGGCGGACGGGUGAGUAACGCGUGAGCAACCUGCCUUAAACAACGGGAUAGCCACGGGAAACCGGGAUUAAUACCGUAUGAGACCCCGCCUUCACAUGAAGAAGAGGUUAAAGAUUUAUCGGUUUAAGAUGGGCUCGCGUCUGAUUAGCUAGUUGGUGAGAUAAAAGCCCACCAAGGCAACGAUCAGUAACCGGCUUGAGAGAGUGAACGGUCACAUUGGAACUGAGACACGGUCCAAACUCCUACGGGAGGCAGCAGUGGGGAAUAUUGCACAAUGGGGGAAACCCUGAUGCAGCGACGCCGCGUGAGCGAUGAAGGAAUUCGUUUCGUAAAGCUCCGUCCAAGGGGAAGAUAAUGACAGUACCCUUGGAGGAAGCCCCGGCUAAAUACGUGCCAGCAGCCGCCUGUAA